AACGAACGCUGGCGGCGCGCCUAAUACAUGCAAGUCGAGCGAGAAGACGUAGCAAUACGUUUGUAAAGCGGCGAACGGGUGAGGAAUACAUGGGUAACCUACCCUCGAGUGGGGAAUAACUAGCCGAAAGGUUAGCUAAUACCGCGUACGCUUCUUGGACUUCGGUUCAGGGAGGAAAGCGAUACCGUGGGUAUCGCGCUCUUGGAUGGGCUCAUGUCCUAUCAGCUUGNGGUGAGGUAACGGCUCACCAAGGCUUCGACGGGUAGCUGGUCUGAGAGGACGAUCAGCCACACUGGCACUGCGACACGGGCCAGACUCCUACGGGGGGCAGCAGUAAGGAAUAUUGCGCAAUGGGCGAAAGCCUGACGCAGCGACGCCGCGUGGGGGAUGAAGGUCUUCGGAUUGUAAA
rnacentral:rRNA from 1 species